UUUUUUAUUACUUUUCAGACAGUCCAACGUACAACAUCUCUCAAGUAAAAAAAUUUACAUGGCGUUCUCCACACAAAUAAAGUUCUUCCACGUUCCUUUUAUGAACGAAACUUACGAGUUUGAGUGUCAAGAAGCAUGCGUCAAACUAAAAAGCUAUCCCUCGACAGUCGACGACCGCUCUUGGGCAGCAGAUGAGCAGAAAAAGUCACGUUUUGUUGCCGAUCUAGUAGCAUGUAAUAUGAUAGGAGUUCGUGGAGGUCACGGUGGCUCCCCUGGGGCCGAGCGGAAGACAAGCUGAUCAAGGACGCGGAGGUCCUGCUUGUGGGCGUGGAGGUCCUGAUAGUGGUCGUGGAGGUCCUCGUCCGGGAAAAGAACGUGGUGGUCCUGGCGGAGGUCCAAGUGGUAGAGACAGCGAUGAUCAAGGCUAUGGCCGUGGAGGUCCAGGUGGUAGAUUUAAAAGGAAAGGCGAUCGAGGCUGAAUACUUGUCACAUGACCUCUCAGCAAACCUAAACCAUCAAAACGCCAUAAUUGAUAACAUGGAAAACGAUAUGGAGGAUAUGCAAUAGUACUAUGAAAGAGAAGUCGAGCAAUCAAAGUUUAAUGAGGAAGUUCUUAAGUGUCGCUGUAAUCAGUUUAAAAAGAAGCUAAUGAAUUCAAAAUGUGCGGCUCAGAGUGCAAAUAGAAGUCGAUGUCCUGAGGAAUAAGUUACGCAAGCGCGACGUUGCUUUGAAUGCCUAUGAUUGCCAAUACCAACAGUUGAUGGCUUAAAAAAUAUGGAUGUCUUAAAAUAAGAAUGUGUGCCAUUACUUACUAUCGCUUACUUGACGUUCUAUCUGAGAGUGGCAAUGAUAGUUGUUUUUCUGGAGCCGAAGAGGAGGAAGGUGGAGAAUGUACAUGUUAGUGUAGCCUAAUCAAAAUUUCGUUUUCCUCUUGUAACUAUUGCUUCAAAAUUUGAAAUCUGAAAUUGUUAAGUCGUCACCAGAAAUUAAAAGAGUUUGAGCCUAAUGAUA